rnacentral:snoRNA from 1 species
CUUCUGUUGUUGAGUAUGACUCCUGUGGCCUGGCCGGGGGUUCAGGCUGCAGACCCAGAGCUUCUGCUUGUGCAUAACUGGGACCCGCAGGCGUGGGGGUCCUUUCAACUGCCAGCGAUAAGG